rnacentral:rRNA from 1 species
GACGAACGCUGGCGGCAUGCUUAACACAUGCAAGUCGAACGAGAAUCUGCGGAUCAAGGAUUCGUCCAAGUGAAGCAGAGGACAGUGGCGGACGGGUGAGUAACGCGUGAGGAACCUGCCUUUCAGAGGGGGACAACAGUUGGAAACGACUGCUGAUACCGCAUAACGCGUAGAGGUCGCAUGGCCUUUACGCCAAAGAUUUAUCGCUGAAAGAUGGCCUCGCGUCUGAUUAGCUAGUUGGUGAGGUAACGGCCCACCAAGGCGACGAUCAGUAGCCGGACUGAGAGGUUGAACGGCCACAUUGGGACUGAGACACGGCCCAU